rnacentral:rRNA from 1 species
AGCAUGCGUCCCAUUAGCUAGUUGGUAAGGUAACGGCUUACCAAGGCAACGAUGGGUAGGGGUCCUGAGAGGGAGAUCCCCCACACUGGUACUGAGACACGGACCAGACUCCUACGGGAGGCAGCAGUGAGGAAUAUUGGACAAUGGGCGCAAGCCUGAUCCAGCCAUGCCGCGUGCAGGAUGACGGUCCUAUGGAUUGUAAACUGCUUUUGUACGAGAAGAAACACUGCUUCGUGAAGCAGCUUGACGGUAUCGUAAGAAUAAGGAUCGACUAACUCCGUGCCAGCAGCCGCGGUAAUACGGAGGAUCCAAGCGUUAUCCGGAAUCAUUGGGUUUAAAGGGUCCGUAGGCGGUUUAGUAAGUCAGUGGUGAAAGCCCAUCGCUCAACGGUGGAACGGCCAUUGAUACUGCUGAACUUGAAUUAUUAGGAAGUAACUAGAAUAUGUAGUGUAGCGGUGAAAUGCUUAGAGAUUACAUGGAAUACCAAUUGCGAAGGCAGGUUACUACUAAU